rnacentral:tRNA from 1 species
AGUCCAUUAGUUCAGUAGGAUAGUAACAUAGACCUCCUAAGUCUAAGACGCGUGUUCGAAUCACGCAUGGACUA